rnacentral:tRNA from 1 species
AUCUUCUUAGUAUAAUAAAUACUAUUGAUUUCCAAUCUUUAAAUCCAAAAUAAAUCUUUGGAGAAGAUA